UCCCUGAUAGCUCAGAUGGUAAAGCUUCUGCCUGCAAUGCAGGGGACCUGGGUUUGAUCCCCAGGUCGGGGAG
rnacentral:tRNA from 1 species